CCUACGGGUGGCAGCAGUGAGGAAUAUUGGUCAAUGGGCGCGAGCCUGAACCAGCCAAGUAGCGUGAAGGAUGACUGCCCUACGGGUUGUAAACCUCUGUCCUCUGUGAAGAUAAUGACGGUAGCAGAGGAGGAAGCUCCGGCUAACUACGUGCCAGCAGCCGCGGUAAUACGUAGGGAGCAAGCGUUGUCCGGAUUUACUGGGUGUAAGGGGUGCGUAGGCGGCCCUGCAAGUCAGAAGUGAAAUCCAUGGGCUUAACCCGUGAACUGCUUUUGAAACUGUAGGGCUUGAGUGAAGUAGAGGCAGGCGGAAUUCCCGGUGUAGCGGUGAAAUGCGUAGAGAUCGGGAGGAACACCAGUGGCGAAGGCGGCCUGCUGGGCUUUAACUGACGCUGAAGCACGAAAGCGUGGGUAGCAAACAGGAUUAGAUACCCCUGUAGUC
rnacentral:rRNA from 1 species